rfam:Trichomalopsis sarcophagae strain Alberta scaffold3366, whole genome shotgun sequence.
UUUGGCUAAUAUCGAAGCUGAGAUUUUUACACUAUCGAAAUUUGCAGUCAAAAUUUAGCCAAAAUUAAUGUUAUCCUCCUUUAUGGUCACUGAUUGACUAAACAUGAGUCUUUUCGUACUACCCAAGGAGGAUACAGCU